rnacentral:pre_miRNA from 1 species
UUAAUCACGUUUCCUUAUCACUUUUCAAGUCCAAUAUGAUGAUAUGAUGAUAUGAUUGGACGGAGAACUGAUAAGGGCAUAUGAUUAU